AGUGAACGCUGGCGGUAGGCCUAACACAUGCAAGUCGAACGGCAGCACAGUAAGAGCUUGCUCUUACGGGUGGCGAGUGGCGGACGGGUGAGGAAUACAUCGGAAUCUACUUUUUCGUGGGGGAUAACGUAGGGAAACUUACGCUAAUACCGCAUACGACCUACGGGUGAAAGCAGGGGAUCUUCGGACCUUGCGCGAUUGAAUGAGCCGAUGUCGGAUUAGCUGGUUGGCGGGGUAAGGCCCACCAAGGCGACGAUCCGUAGCUGGUCUGAGAGGAUGAUCAGCCACACUGGAACUGAGACACGGUCCAGACUCCUACGGGAGGCAGCAGUGGGGAAUAUUGGACAAUGGGCGCAAGCCUGAUCCAGCCAUACCGCGUGGGUGAAGAAGGCCUUCGGGUUGUAAAGCCCUUUUGUUGGGAAAGAAAAGCAGCAGGUUGAUACCCCGCUGUUCUGACGGUACCCAAAGAAUAAGCACCGGCUAACUUCGUG
rnacentral:rRNA from 1 species